CCCUUAGAUGUUCUGGGCUGCACGCGCGCUACACUGAUGCGCUCAACGAGUUUAUGACCUUGCCCGGAAGGGUUGGGUAAUCUUUUCAAAACGCAUCGUGAUGGGGAUAGAUUAUUGCAAUUAUUAAUCUUCAACGAGGAAUUCCUAGUAAGCGCGAGUCAUCAGCUCGUGUUGAUUACGUCCCUGCCCUUUGUACACACCGCCCGUCGCUACUACCGAUUGGGAAAAUUUUAGAGAGUCCUGGACUGAUGAUUGUUCGGCUUCACGGCCUUACUUUCGUCGGGAAAGAAUUCGAUAAUAUUUUUCUAGAGGAAGUAAAAGUCGUAACA
rnacentral:rRNA from 1 species